rnacentral:rRNA from 1 species
AGAAUCAACGCUGGCGGCGUGCCUAACACAUGCAAGUCGCACGAGAAAGGGGCUUCGGCUCUGAGUAAAGUGGCGCACGGGUGAGUAACACGUGACUAAUCUACCCUCGAGUGGGGAAUAACCUAGAGAAAUCUGGGCUAAUACCGCAUAACACUUACGAGUCAAAGCAGCAAUGCGCUUGGGGAGGAGGUCGCGGCCGAUUAGCUAGUUGGCGGGGUAAUGGCCCACCAAGGCGAUGAUCGGUAU